rnacentral:lncRNA from 1 species
UCACAACUAUUUUUUUUCCUCUAAUUCCUUUCCAAACCUUCCCUAUCAUUUCUUUUGUUUUGAUGUUUUAUUAAAAAGUAAACCCCUUUUAUUUUUGGGAGAGAGUGAGUCCAGCCUCUUGGGCCUUUGUCUCCCCGCAGACCCAGUUAGCGUAGUAGCAACACAGCCACACAGCCCAACUAAGGCCCUCCAUGAGCAUCCUCAUCAACGUGUACGGUAGCGCAUCCACCGGAGCCACGUUGGCAUCCCCG